GUCUGGGUGGCUCGGUCGAUUGGGCAUCUGACUUUGGCUCAGGUCAUGAUCUCGUGGUUCGUGGGUUCGAGCCCCAUAUCAGGCU
rnacentral:tRNA from 1 species